UACAGAGGGUGCAAGCGUUGUUCGGAAUUAUUGGGCGUAAAGGGCGCGUAGGCGGUUCGGCAAGUCUCUAGUGAAAUCUCUGGGCUCAACUCAGAGUCUGCUGGGGAAACUGCCGGGCUUGAGUGUGGGAGAGGAGAGUGGAAUUCCCGGUGUAGCGGUGAAAUUCGUAGAUAUUGGGAAGAACACCGGUGGCGAAGGCGACUUCCUGGCCUGUUCUUGACGCUGAGGCGCGAAAGCUAGGGGAGCAAACAGG
rnacentral:rRNA from 1 species